GUGCCAGCAGCCGCGGUAAUACGGUGGGAGCGAGCGUUGUCCGGAAUCACUGGGCGUAAAGGGUGUGUAGGCGUCCCGGUAAGUCUCUGGUGAAAGCCUUCCGCUCAACGGAAGAAUUGCCAGAGAUACUGUCGGGAUUGAGUCCGGGAGAGGGGAGCGGAAUUCCUGGUGUAGCGGUGAAAUGCGUAGAUAUCAGGAAGAACGCCAGAGGCGAAGGCGGCUCCCUAGCCCGGUACUGACGCUGAGGCACGAAAGCGUGGGGAGCGAACGGGAUUAGAUACCCGGGUAGUCCUGGCCGUAAACGAUGGAUGCUAGAUGUGGGCGGGGAGACCCGUCCGUGUCGCAAGCUAACGCGUUAAGCAUCCCGCCUGGGGAGUACGGCCGCAAGGUUGAAACUCAAAGGAAUUGGCGGGG
rnacentral:rRNA from 1 species